GGGAAAAGGAACAGUAAUAAUAUAACCAUUUUUAUUCUUUGUGUGCAGACAGGAUGUCUCUUAUAAAAUCCUUGAUAGUUUUCUCCUAAGACAGGCUCUUUCUUCAAAAUUUGUUUCAAGGCUCUGGAGCUAAAUUUUAGCAAGAACCUGGUCAUUUUCUGAACAAUUUGUAUCAACUUGCGGCUGCUGCUCCACUUUGGGUAACGGAGCGGUUCUACGUGCAGCAACUACACAGGACUUUGCAUGUCCACACCUUGGUGCAAGCAGUGUUGCUAAGCUACUGCUGUGCUGGCUGGCACACGUGGGCAGCAUCCUUCAGCUGUGAGGAUCAACAAUACCUGAGUUGCCGGCACAUAG